CGAACGCUGGCGGCAGGCCUAAUACAUGCAAGUCGAACGGCUCUUCGGAGCAGUGGCGGACGGGUGAGUAAAGCGUGGGAAUGUGCCCUUUGGUACGGAACAACACAGGGCAACUUGUGCUAAUACCGUAUGUGCCCUUCGGGGGAAAGAUUUAUCGCCAUUGGAGCAGCCCGCGUUGGAUUAGGUAGUUGGUGAGGUAAAGGCUCACCAAGCCUACGAUCCAUGGCUGGUCUGAGAGGAUGACCAGCCACACUGGGACUGAGACACGGCCCAGACUCCUACGGGAGGCAGCAGUAGGGAAUCUUGCGCAAUGGGCGAAAGCCUGACGCAGCCAUGCCGCGUGUAUGAUGAAGGUCUUAGGAUUGUAAAAUACUUUCACCGGGGAAGAUAAUGACGGUACCCGGAGAAGAAGCCCCGGCUAACUUCGUGCCAGCCGCCGCGGUAAGAC
rnacentral:rRNA from 1 species